CACCAGCCCGGCAUGCCGGAACUACCUCUUAGACGUGCCAGAGAGGCUGGAAGCACCUGGUGAGCUUGCCGGAACCACCUGCUCGACUUGCCGGAACCACUUGCCUGACACGCCAAAAUCACGUGACGGCUAUGCCAAAACCACUUGGCGGACACUGCAGAAUCACCUGCUCGGCAUGCCAGAACCACCUCUCAGACGUGCCAAAAACACGUGCCACACACGCCGGAACAACCUCCCAGACUGACCGGAACCACCUGCUGGACACGCCGGAAACACCUGUUGAGCACACUGGACCCACCUGCUCGCCUCACCACAACCACCUGCCGGACAUGCCAAAAUCACCUGCCGAGCACACCGGAACCACCUGCUUGACUCUCCAGAACCCCAUGCCGGAUAUGCCAAAAUCACCUGCCGGCGAUGCCAGAACCACUUGGCUGACACUCCGGAAUCACAUACCUGGCAUGCCGGAACCACCUGUCAGAUGUGCCAGAACCAUGUGCCGCGGAUGCCAGAAGCACCUGACAACCUCGCCGAAACCACCUGAUCCACUCCCCAAAACCACCUGCCGGACACGCCAAAAUCACCUGCCGGCUAUGCCAGAAUCACGUGGCAGACAGUCCGGAAUCACCUGCCGGGCAUCCCAGAACCACCUGCUCGACUCACCAGAACCACUUGUCAGACACUCUGGAAUCACCUGCCGGGCAUGCCGGAACCACCUCUCAGACGUGCCAGAUCCAUGUGCGGGACACACCAAAACCACCUACAGGACAGACCAGAACCACCGGCCCAAAACACAUGAAAAACCUGCCAAGCACGCUGGAACCACCUGUUCGACUCACUGGAAGACCCUAUCGGACAUGCCAAAAUCACCAGUCGUCUACACCAGAACCACUUGUUGGACACUCCGGAAUCACCUGCCGGGCAUGCUGGAACCACCUCUCAAACGUGCCUGAAACAUGUGCCGGACACGCAGGAACCCCCACCCAGACAUACUGGAACCACCUGCCAUCCAUGCCUGAACCAGCUGCCGAGCACGCUGGAACCACCUGCUCAAAACGCCGGAACCACCUGUCAGACUGCCAAAUCACCUGCCGUCUACGCCGGAACCACAUGGCCAACAUUCCUGUAUCACCUUCUGGGCAUGCUGGAACCACAUCUCAGACAUGCCAGAACUACAUGCCGGACAUGCCGGGACCACCUCC
rnacentral:lncRNA from 1 species